UUUGUACAAGAAUGCAGUUGUUAAAUAGUGGGUAUCAAACUAGGAAAAUAUAAUGUUUCUCAGAAAAGAUGCCUGGAAUCCGUCGCCGGAAUGAUACCUCCAACACCCGUCUCUCGCCAUUUUCAGUUUCAACCAGAGAUUUCAAUCCUCCAUCAGAACAUCCAUGGAUUCGUAGUCGCCUUUUGGUUAUCUCGUCUUCGAUCAUCCAAAUAUGAAGGUUAUUUGAUUUUCAUUUACAAAAAGGAUGGUCGAGAAGAAGUAGUUGUUGCAAGACUGUUCGCGUAUGUGAAGAGCAGUGUAGAAUACAACAAUAGUGGUGCUUUUGCCCAUUGCUUAUUACACGUAUCUUCACAAGUAUAAACUCAGGCUGUUUGAUUUCGACGGUGGUGGUAACCUAAGGAUGAAUUAAUGGUUUGAUCUUCGCACAAGUUCUUUUGUUAGUUGUUCAGACCAACGGUACUCUCAAGCGGGCAGAUCAUUUCAUUUGGGUUGUUCCAAUAUGCAGUGCAGUUACCUGUAUAUUUUUAUCCCCACUUGGGUUUUUUAGUGGGUGUUUAGCGUUUUGAAGAAAGUGGCAAGAUUGUUGGGAGUGUUACAAGAUUUCCGGCUGUUAGUGUAGCUCAUAAGUCAUGGCUUUAAAUGUCUCAACUGUUGUUACAUGAAGGUUGUGAUAUCACUCAUUUGGAAGGGUUUUAAAGGAAACUACAUGUGAGCAGGAUCUGAUGGGUGGCAAUGCAGAACUCAAAGAUCUGCAGGGUGAGGUAUCGUGGUGUCUCGUGGCUAGAAUGUCUGUUAAUUUUAGGUAUUCUAUUACUAAAUCGUAGAUCCGGUGGUUAAGUGUCGUGGAUAGUGGAUAUGAGUCAAGAGUUAUCUUAUCAUACGCAUUCUUUCGGCUUUGGUUCGAGUUCGAUCCCAGGUUCAAACUCGUGCUUGCCGCCGUCGGGUCCAGAUUACCGAGUCACCCCAGUCGACCACAAAGAUAAAAAUAUAGGCCGUGUCCGAGUUACAAUUUAUAAGUGUGGAUGGGUUAAGGCUGUUUUUGAAACGGAUAAAAAUAUGGUUAGUGCUCCGGUCAAGAUGUAUAAGCAUGUAUGGGUUAAAGUUGGUGUUUUAGACACGGAGAAAAAUAUGGGUCAUGUUCGGGUUACACAAUUCAUAAGUGUGAACCGUUGUACGGGUUUAUAGCUCGUAUUUUUUACAUGGAUAAAAAUACGGGUCGAAUUCGGGUUGGACAAUCUAACCCGUCAACCCAACAUGAUUAGCAACCAAAGGUUUCAUAUCUGACGUAAACUGCUACUCGCGGGGGCCCUGCCUCCAACUCCCGAAAAGUUUGAGCACGUCCAUCAAUCAUGGAUGAUAAAACAUAACCAACUAUCGAUGCUAAAGAAAAACUGUUCUAGGUUGUACGACGAUCACACCGAAAAAUCCUUGAAAUGGACACAACGAAAUCCCACAUAAGACGACAGAACAUGUUCCAAUCGGACCAUAUCAGUUACAGUCAAAGUCAAAGUUUGACCACUUCUUGAGGGUCAACGCUCCACCCAAAGGGCCCGAGCCCAGGUGGCUCAUGCGAAGUAAGCUCUCUAACUGGCCCUUUAAAGUGGUUUCCUCAUGACAUUGCGAAAUAAGUUUCUUUAAGCAUUAUCCAAAAUAGCCCUCCUUUUUACGCGUAUACUUCUAAGAACGGGUUGAUGAGAGUGGCCCGUUUACCCCAGCUAAGAGUGAUAGUUCAAGAAGCUGUCUUAGUGGCUACUCGGACCAGCCUAACUACAUUGCGUACACGGGGUCUUCACAGGCUAAAGGCAGGUCUGUAAGUGCACCUAGACAAAGGCCUCAUAUGGAGUUUCCUAGCACCACAGAGGUAUUCGGUCUACGGAUACGGUUUAGGUGAUCAUCGUGGUUCAAACUUGAAGGAUAAGUUUGUGAGCAAAGCGUAUCCGGGUUCGGGGCGACUUGAUCGACUUGGUCUGCCGGUCGGUGGCAUCGUUUUUCAUGAAGGUGAGUUUAGUGGUGGUUAUUGGAAUUAGCAACUUAUAUAUGUUAACUUUUUACAUUUGAGCAAGUGGUUGGAAUGCCAUUUGAAAGUUAUGAUGGCCUUUUUGUAAUUUUCUCUAUAAUUGAGGGUUUGAUAUGAACUUUUUACUAAUGUAG
rnacentral:lncRNA from 1 species